CUUAAUUUGACUCAACACGGGGAAACUCACCAGGUCCGGACAUGGGAAGGAUUGACAGACUGAGAGCUCUUUCGAGAUUCUGUGGGAGGUGGUGCAUGGCCGUUGUUGGUUGGUGGAGUGAUUUGUCAGGUUUAUUCCGGUAACGGGCGAGACGGGGGGUGGGGGAAACUAUUAUCGUAGGCUUCUGCGAUAGUGGGCCACCGCGACACGCGGCGCCAAGCCGCGGGAAGCACCCCGCAAUAACAGGUCUGUGAUGCCCUUUGAUGUUCUGGGCUGCACGCGCGCUACACUGGCAGGGGGAGCGGGGACCUGCGCCGAGAGGUGUGGGGAAUCGGGAGCGCCUGCCGUGCUGGGGAUAGAGGAUUGCAAUUGUUUGUCUUGAACGAGGAAUUCCUAGUAGGCGCGAGUCAACAGCUUGCGCCGACUACGUCCCUGCCCUUUGUACACACCGCCCGUCGCUACUACCGAUUGGAUGAGUGGGUGAGGAGGUGGGGGGGACUGAGAGAUUGGUCCUGAACACGGCCAAACCCGUUCAUCUAGAGGAAGUAAAAGUCGUAACAAGGUACC
rnacentral:rRNA from 1 species